CGGGCACAUGUGAUGAAUCCAUUGUCCGCUGAGCCACGCGGUGACUUGACUAACAAAGUAAACGCUCUGAUGUGCCCG
rnacentral:snoRNA from 1 species